UUCCUCUGCCCCUGUGUGCCCACGGCCCUGUUGCUGCACUGGCCCGAUGAAUCGAAUGUCUUCUGCAAUAACUGGAACGGCCCCGUAAACUCUGUCGCGUCGGCGGACUGAAUGCGCAGGACGAAAAACAUUGCUGCGAAGACGUCCCCUCUAGACGACGGUAUAUCAUCCUGUGACGACCACAUUGAAGUCUGAAUUUGAAGUGUGGAGAUGCUUCAGCAACCACAUCGUACUUUUCCAUUGCUUUCAUUGUGCUUCUCCUGUGCAUGUGUGUAACUUGUGGGGUACAGUGCUGCCAAACCGUCCGAUUUUUGAAGGCUAUUCCGAAAACCGGUCCGAAAAAGGAAACGUCCGAAAAACAUGCAAAAAUGUUAGAGAUCAUUACGUUCCUAUGCCGAAGUCCUGUAUUUUCACUUUUCAGCGCAACUGAAGGCACAAAACACUGUACAUGUGCUUCUAAAAAGGCUGGCGCUUGGCUGUUGAAGUGCGAAGUAAUAACAGUUACAUGCCUAGAUGCAAUGUACACUGUACAAUGUGUGACCACACUCAUGCAUUACAAAAUUCAUGACAACUUCGGGGUGCCAUUUUGGUUACCAUGGGAACGAAGCGAUUUUUCAUGGUAUUUUGGGCGAUAUUUUGAAUUCUCCGGAAAAUUUUGCUGAGAAGAUAAAUUCGCACCAUGUGGCCAGCCUUGGCGGUGAAGGGUGUCCGAUUUGGGGCGAAAAUUAUUUGGCAGCACUGGGGGUAUACUUGUGAUGACAUUGUGUGCUGGCGACACGGUCAGAUUUUGUCCAUGCGUGUAACGUACACCUGCAUGUUAUGCAUUGAAAAGGAUCUGCCACUUGCGAUCCUGGGACGAGUAUCAGGUCAGCUUUGUCUUGUGUGGGCUGUACCAGAUUGCUGUUCACUUCUCUAUCUGUUGGAUAUGUGACUUUCUGCAAGUUUCUGGUGUAUGGUGGCCACUUCUUUGCUUGUCACUUUAUAUGAUAUUACAUUCUGUAUUCGCUGCUUCCAUUGCGUGGUCUGCAAACUCCAAUCCUUGGGCAAAUGUCAUGUUUGCUAUGUUGUGCUUUGGCCGUCAGCUUGUCUACACGUUGUAGUUGAAUUAUUUUGUUUCACAACUGACUUCCUGAA